rnacentral:lncRNA from 1 species
GAGUCAGUAGAGCUUCAGCCAGAGGUGAGUGGAAUAAACUCUUUAUGUUUUAAAGUAAAUAAAUUAAUUCUUAGCAUGAUUCACGCAUCAUGAAUGCCAUGAGAUAUAUUAGGUUGUUUGCAUUAGAAUUCACGAAUAUGUUGCAUUGCAUAAUAUGUUGAUGAUGUGGAUGAAUGUUGAAUGAUCCUUUAGCCCUCCCAUGAUAUGAUAUGGUAUGAUAUGAU